CUUAGCACUUGGUCCCACUGGGCAUGGGCUGUAAGCCCUUUGAAGAAAAACUAUGCAGUGUGUGGCUGCACGGGGAUCUGACCUCUGAGCCCUGCAAUGAAGCCAUCCAGCCAGCAAUCGCACAAAGACUCUCCUCCGGGAGGGUCUUUCCUUCCAUAAGCUUCCAAGCCAAUGGGACGACCUCAUUUUCAAGCCCAUAUUUGUUCCGGACAGAUUAAUACCACAGACACUGAAGAGUCUUAAAAAUUUUCAUCUCAGGAGGAGAUGAAGGAGGACUUUGAGGAAGAUUUGAAGUAACGUGAGCCAACGGGCACAUCCAGGGCAAUGGCA